rnacentral:rRNA from 1 species
CCUACGGGAGGCAGUAGUCGAGAAUCAUUCACAAUGGGGGAAACCCUGAUGGUGCGACGCCGCGUGGGGGAAUGAAGGUCUUCGGAUUGUAAACCCCUGUCAUGUGGGAGCAAAUUAAAAAGAUAGUACCACAAGAGGAAGAGACGGCUAACUCUGUGCCAGCAGCCGCGGUCAUACAGAGGUCUCAAGCGUUGUUCGGAAUCACUGGGCGUAAAGCGUGCGUAGGCUGUUUCGUAAGUCGUGUGUGAAAGGCGCGGGCUCAACCCGCGGACGGCACAUGAUACUGCGAGACUAGAGUAAUGGAGGGGGAACCGGAAUUCUCGGUGUAGCAGUGAAAUGCGUAGAUAUCGAGAGGAACACUCGUGGCGAAGGCGGGUUCCUGGACAUUAACUGACGCUGAGGCACGAAGGCCAGGGGAGCGAAAGGGAUUAGAUACCCUUGUAGUC